rnacentral:piRNA from 1 species
UGGCUUUGUCUUAGGUAGAGAAGGUGU